AGUUCAAAGUUUCUUGACCACAGCUGUGGAGUGCUGGCUAUUCUUGAGACUUUUCUAGAAUUUUGACUUUUGCAAGUAUUGAUUGACAUCCACGUUUCUAACCCGUUUUUUUUUGGUAACAUGUAAACAGGUUUGUACUUCCUUGACGGUAUGUAUAGUGUAAAAUCAGAGUGAAACUUGGGAGAAUUUUUUAAUUCGAACCAAGUACACGAUUAUCAUCAAAGAAUUAGCCUCAAGUUGUACCUUCUCCACAUUAUCUUGCAUCUCAUGCAUUGUCAUUUGAAUUUCGUGAUUUUUAAAUGUAUUUAGCACGAAUUAUUUACUUGUAUAUAUUGAUCUGUCAGUUUCGUUAAUCUAUAUAGACCAAACCAGGACACUUUCACAAUCGAAUCAGAGGCGAGCAAGAUUUUGAAGUUAAAAUAGCUGACAAAAGAUUCUUGUUUCAUGACAUUGUUCGUUCAUGCUAAAUGGCGUGUUAGGCGACAUCUGUCUGCUGCUGCAGUUCAUCACUAGGACACAGAACAAAGUGGAUCAUUGGCAAUGGCUUUACCAUGUGAGUGAAUGAAGAAAAAAAUAGGAUCUCGAUGUAGAUGUGUGUUUGUGGAAAGAAGGGAGAAGUUGGGGGUCAAUCAGUGAAUCAAGGAAAGGAUCAGAGGCAUAGCCUAAGGUGCAGCUUGGUCCAGGUAACCACCAGCAUCCAGCAGGGCUUGAAAAAUGAUGAAGUAAGACUCUGAUGUUUCGUCUCGCGAAUACUUUUCUGCCAAAAAAUGAAGUGGAGUUUUGCCGUUCUUGUCGACUGCGUUGGGAUUGGCUCCAGCUUCCAACAACAGUUGAAUAAUGGAUACAGCGUGACUUGUAGAAUAAAGUGACAAUCCUCCGUGGUAAUCAACCAUGGCGAUCGCCACGUGUAGGAGACUAGUGACGCCGUUAUUUUGAUUGUAGAAAUGGAUGUAACGUGACAGGUAUUCGGUUAACUGGCGAAUUUCGUCUUUUUUUAAUCUUGGAAGCCAAUUUGAAAUGAAGAAGUAAGUUUUUUCGAGGAUAUCAAAGAGCUGCCUGUCGGGAAGAGUCACUGGUGGAACAGGUAACAUGUUGGCGAAAAUUUCUAAUCCGAAUUUAGCGAUUGCCAAUAGAUUAGCAGACGAUAAUUCUUGUUUUAAAGUGCCGUUGGUUGGCUGUCGUCGUUUCAAACAGACUAACAUUAAAUCAAAUGUUUCUGCAAAUAUUUUGACACAUUUGGGUGAAGAGUUUUGGUUGAAUUCUUUGGAAUGUUCCAAGAUGAGCAGACAAAUAUUCGUGGCACAAAUGUAGUGUUGGUGAAAUUUACAGUAGAUUCCAUAAUGCAGUAAGUUUUCAAGGUGGAAAGAGUUGGGGCCAGUCUGGCUGGUUUUGUUUUGACUUAAUAUUCGUUUACUAACUAGCAGAGCUUGAACUACCAGUGGUCCACAGAGAAGGUCCCAACCCCCGAUCGACCUGUGCAUCGACGAUUGCUCUUCCAGCUCUUCCAGUUCCUCUGGUGUCACAAAUUCAGUAGCUUCCUCAAAGAUGCUGCUAACAAUUUCAGAGAAAACAUAAGGAAUUUUGGGAAUGGGUUCUGCUCCACCAGCUGUAGAGUAACGUAAUGCCAUUGCUUGUUUCCAGCAGAGCAAUCCACGCCAUGGUCCGUUAUGGCAUGGCGCUUGCUUGCACAAUGACUUUCGUCGAGUGUGAAGAAUUUGUUUGAAGAUGAAGGCAGCACCCAUUAAUUCGAGAGCGAUGAUCUUCUCAUGCCUGGGAAGCGAGCUGGCCGUAAACGAAUUGAGAACGAAGUCCAACCAAUAUGCCUCGUCGUUGACUACAUCAAUUAGGUAACCAAACACUUGGAAGUUCAGUGAUGUGCUGUAAGCUGCGCGUAUUCUAGUAUUCAAGUCGAAUAAACAGGUCGUUUUUCCCAUGGCGAUCUAAGUUCUAUACCGGAUCGAUUCUACCAGCAACAGUUCCAUUGGCGAUAAGUGUAUGGCAUUCGUUUCGACCUCGUCCUAUAUUUAUUCGCGUACUUCCAGGUUUUUGAGUAAUUGUUGCUGGCCAACAGGCGUUUUAACUAGAUUCACGAGGCCAUGGGAUCAGUUCCAAAGUUCAGUUACAACCGAUGCAUGCUUUGCUUCAUUUAACAUUACCUGGCGUCCCGUAACAUCGUAAAUAGAAGUGAUCGUCCCAUGGGGAACAUAAAACCUGAGGGACAAAAUGAAUAUUUCCUGUUAAAAUAUUGGAGACAGUGACUAUUGUUUAAUUCUAUUUCUCCGACAAAGAAAGUGCUGUGAAGAUGGAUGAAUGCGGAUUGACUGGAAGGUGCUCUCCAAAUGGAAUCUGAAUGUGAGGCAUAAUUUGUGCAUAGCAACGGUAAUAUGGACAGUGUCCUUAAACAGAUGGAUAAUGAAUUCGACAAUAUUUCAAGACGCUAUGUUGGAAGAAAUUAUCGGAACCUACCUGGUUAACAUGAGGUUCAGCAUCCACAGGAGCACGGGAUAACAUUUUGAAGCUGCUUUUCUCGGAUCAACUUCCGUGCAGGUAAUUUCUGCCGCACACGUCAGUCGCAUUAAUAAUUCGCUCCAGGAUGAUUUGGAUCACUUAUUCACGUUCAUAGGAAUUACCAUAAUUAACAAUCCAUCGUUGUUAUAAAUCAGCUGUCUUGUGAAGAAGGUUAGUGAUACUGUGAAUUUAACAAAUUAAUUCAAUGGAGAUGAUAAACCGUCAAAUAAUUUCUUAUUGGUUCAAAUUUGUCUCUAUAAUAACAUUGAUAUGUCAAGUCUUUUUCAGUAAUGUCACUCCGGGUUCUCUUCUCAAAACGGACGAUCGCUGCGAACGUUAAGAUGGUCAAGGCUGGUGUUCCGAUAGGUGACACAAAAUUGCUUCGCUAUUGUUCGUCGACGCUGUCCUAUACUGUUGUGGUCGUUUCACAGUCUAACAUGAAAUGAAACGUACAGGGCAAACACGGAGGAGUAUUUAGGUCGAGGUGUCUUGCUUUAAACCGCCGAAACUCCUGUGGGGUAAGUUGCGAUUUGAUUAUUCUUUGGGUUCGUGGAAUUACAGCAAAACCACAAUCAUUAUUUUUAGAUGAAGCUGAGAUGGAUGAGAUGUUGGCCAAGAAAUACGUGGAAUUUUACGAGUUCAAAGGGAUUGAUGAUGUCAACAAUCGGGCAGCUCGUUAAAGGACAGCUGGAACUUUCUCUCAUUGUCGCCCCGCCGUUAUUGAUUCAAUGAUAAAAGGCAUUGUUCCGGCGAUUUUGAACAAAACGGAGGAGACCCUGAGGAUUGCAGCACCAACGCAUCAAACCGCCUCUUCCAACACUGUUAUACAAGUAAGGUAUCUUUGUUAUACUGUCCGUCCAACACAGAACAAUGUUUUUUGUUUUUUGUUUUGAGAUGAAAGCAGAACUUAUUUGCUUGGACGUUAGAUUUCUUUUGUGUUGGGUAACAGAUCUUUGCACUUCUUGCUAGUAUUUUUCACUGCGACAGUAAUUCCAUUAUUUGAUAAUGGAAAAACAUCUCUUUCGAUGUACUGUAAACCGGCACGGUGGUUUUUGAUCAUUGACUGCUUCACAACUCUUGACGGUAAGGUGGUUUCUCUGCAUCUGAAUAGUUUCUUGCAAUCUGGCAAUGAUUACAUCAUCAGAAGUCUAAAAAUGAGAGAUGAUGCUGCAUUUUGGAAAACGGCCAUCACUUUUUAAGAAGGACCAACGUCUUUGGGUUCGAAACUCUUUGCAAAAUUAACCAGUGGAACACGUCUACCCUUAACGCAUUCAACAAGCAUAAAAGACCAUGUUACAGCAUCGUUUUAAACAACACGGAUAAAUAUUUAUCUGCUGAAUUAUCCAGUUCGGGGCGUCCGCGCUGCUUGUGGUCACCAAAACAUCGAUUUUGCAAUUCAAGAUAAAAGGGCAUCACCCAAAGAUGAAACAACUAGCGAGGAUUGCAUGCUGGAUGGUAAUUGGUGUUCGUAUGGAAUUUGUGCUCGUCGUAUGACUUGCGCGCAGAUGUAUGAAAGAGUCAUAAAUGUCUUUCCGUCCGGCGUCUCUUGAUUGAGUUGGCCUCCAGCAUCCAGCAAGGCUUGAAAUACAGCUUCGUAAGAUUUUAAAUCGUUCCGAAACCAUUCGUAAUUCUCUGCCAAAAUGUGGAACGGAGCUUUGCCAUUGGAAUCCGUAGCCGUCGGAUCGGCUCCAGUUUCAAGAAACAGCUGAAUAACAGAUACAAUUUUACUUGGAUAUCGUUGGAUGACGUCAAUCUUCUUGAUUGCCAGGUGUAGAAGACUAGUGAAACUAUGUGCAUUAUUCAUGCUGAAAUAGUUUGCUAGACAGUCUUUAAGUUGUUGAAUUUCCAGCUGAUUACGUGACAGAAUAUGAUCCAAUAUUCUUAGAUGGCGACGAAGUACAGUCGUAACGAUGAAUCACCAAUGCGAACUUCUGAGUCAAAGAAAAGGAACUGAACACCAAUGAAUAGUUUGCGAAAAGAAACGCGACUUGUUUCCACGAGCGGCAAUCCACCUUUGGAAAUGGGCUGCUCGUUGUAGACUAAUAAGAUACCGAGAACAGUGUCCCCAUCUGGCGUUGCUUGAUCCAAAUGACAUCCAGCAUCCAACAGGGCCUGAAAAACGUUAAAAAACGAUUCCCUUGAAUGAGGCGUACACUUUUCGGCUAGGAUAUGAAGAGGAGAUUUUCCAUUUCCAUCGACAGCUUUAGGGUCGGCUCCGUUUGCAAGAUGAAGAAUACUGGAGAAUCCGGUACGUAAUUUCUCGACGUGAAACAAAUUAGCGAGAAUGAGAUUCAAUCGGUCGUCCUCGUCUCUGUCCAAAUGGAAAGUCUUCGACAUAGUCAUUACCAAUAAAUGCAUUUUCUUCAUAACCAAAUGCCGCCAUUCGCCAUGCUUGUUGCUGAUUGGAGAUGUGAGUGGGCUGCGUUCCAGAACUAUUAGGAUGUCGGAGAAGAGGAGAAAAGUUUCAACGAAUACUUGGAAACAUCUGGGCGAAUCUGGUCGACUGAACUGCUCCAUAAUGAGCAGUGAAAUGUUGAUGGUGCGCCUGUGAUGCAUCUGUCUAUUCUGGAUGACAUUUCCAGUUACUAAAAAGUGUUCUCCAUAUUCUUGCAAAGUUUUGAGGUGAAACAAAUUCGGCUCUACUUGCCUACCUCUUCUUUGCCCGAACGUCCGCUGAAUGAUGAGAAGAGCUUGGAUAACAACGGCGGAUAUGUCAUUGCGACGUCUUAAUUGUUGUUCCAAUUCGUCCAGCUCUUCUAGUGUCGUGAUUUCAACCGCAUCGCCAAUCGCGCUGCGGGCAUUAUCUGUCAGAACGUAUGGCAUUUUAGGGAUAGGCCUCCGUCUAUUGGCUGUCGAAUUCCGCAGUUCCAAAGCUCUCCUCCAGCAUUUCAAUCCACGCAAAUCGACGGCAAUUUCAUCCGACUCGAAUUGCUCCGAUAAAAGUAUUUUCAAAAUGAAGGCAGCGCCCAUUAAUUCAAACGCUAUGAUCUUCUCAGGACGGGACAUGUUGCUUGCCACUAUGGAAUUUAAAACAAACUCGAACCACGAAAGCUCGUCGUCGACAACGUCAAUCAGGUAUUCCAUCAGUUUGUAAAUGGAAUUCUGUUCUGCAAUGUCCCGGAUAAUGGCCACUUCGGGUGAUGGCAGUACGAAUGUUUGUGUGUAUUCCUUGCCAAAUUCUGCCGGUCCAAUCGAAAAUUUGUCCAAAUCCACUCUAUCCCACGAGAAAAGCGACAUGUGUUUCAUAAAUUUCGAUCGUGGAUGCUCGUCGAUUUUGAUGUUAUCCUUGAUGGUUUGCACCAAAAAUUCAAUAACUUCGAAUUUUCUUUCUCUGAUGGCCAUUUGCAAUGGCGUCUCCCCUUGUUCGUUACGUUGACUCAUUUUUUCCAAUACUGUGUUUUUGUCUGUUUCAAGUAUUUCACGUAUCUGACCGAUAAAUCCCUGGCGAACAGCGUCGAAAACUAAAUAGUCUUUCGGAGAAAUCAUGGCGAACUUGUUUUCAAAGAUAUAUUUGUAUUUUCUGGAUUUUUCAAAAGCAACUACUCACGGCACUCAUGCACUGCUGAUUACACUGCAACAAAUAGUACGUGCAAUGGUGACCGACACUUCUUAUACUGAAAAUAAAAUUCGACGUCACGCCGACGCCAUGUCGAAUCAUGCAGAAAGCAGCCCGAACUUCCAGGAAAGGAGUAUAUAAAUAUAUAUUUGGAAACGUCGGGAAAUGUUUUUCAUAGAAUGCUUUACGGGGUCAUCAACUUUUAAAAUUUUGUUUUAAUGUUAAUUUUUAAGAAAUUUAGUUUAACCUUGAAUUUUCUAACUGUUGCAGCAUGCCGAGUUUAUGACCUGUUUUUUUCUAUUAUUAGCCGUCUGAAAAUGUAUUAAAGUCAACGGUUGAAAUAGUCAAAUUGCCUAAACGUCGAGAAAUGUCAAAUUUUCACCUUCAACUCUUGCUGACUGUUGGCACUUAAUCUGCUCUAUUAUUUUGAUGCAAUGCAAGUCUGCUUACUUUCCAAACUGUUGCAUUCGAUGUGGUGCUAGGCGCAGUAUUAAAUUCUCCUCGGUGCUCA